rnacentral:rRNA from 1 species
GACGAACGCUGGCGGCGUGCCUAAUACAUGCAAGUAGAACGCACAGUUUAUACCGUAGCUUGCUACACCAUAGACUGUGAGUUGCGAACGGGUGAGUAACGCGUAGGUAACCUGCCUGGUAGCGGGGGAUAACUAUUGGAAACGAUAGCUAAUACCGCAUAAUAUUAAUUAUUGCAUGAUAAUUAAUUGAAAGGUGCAAUUGCACCACUACCAGAUGGACCUGCGUUGUAUUAGCUAGUAGGUGAGGUAACGGCUCACCUAGGCGACGAUACAUAGCCGACCUGAGAGGGUGAUCGGCCACACUGGGACUGAGACACGGCCCAGACUCCUACGGGAGGCAGCAGUAGGGAAGCUUCGGCAAUGGACGAAAGUCUGACCGAGCAACGCCGCGUGAGUGAAGAAGGGUUUCGGAUCGUAAAGCUCUGUUGUAAGAGAAGAACGGGUGUGAGAGUGGAAAGUUCACACUGUGACGGUAUCCUACCAGAAAGGGACGGCUAACUACGUG